rnacentral:rRNA from 1 species
UACGGGGGGUGCAAGCGUUGUUCGGAUUUAUUGGGCGUAAAGCGCGUGUAGGCGGUUUGGUCAGUCUGAUGUGAAAGCCCCGGGCUCAACCCGGGAAGUGCAUUGGAUACUGCCAGACUUGAAUACGGGAGAGGGCAGUGGAAUUCCUAGUGUAGGAGUGAAAUCCGUAGAUAUUAGGAGGAACACCGGUGGCGAAGGCGGCUGCCUGGACCGAUAUUGACGCUGAGACGCGAAAGCGUGGGUAG